GAAACCAACCGGGAUUGCCUUAGUAACGGCGAGUGAAGCGGCAAAAAGCUCAAAUUUGAAAUCCGGUACCUUCGGUGCCCGAGUUGUAAUUUGGAGAGGGCAACUUUGGGGCCGUUCCUUGUCUAUGUUCCUUGGAACAGGACGUCAUAGAGGGUGAGAAUCCCGUGUGGCGAGGAGUGCGGUUCUUUGUAAAGUGCCUUCGAAGAGUCGAGUUGUUUGGGAAUGCAGCUCUAAGUGGGUGGUAAAUUCCAUCUAAAGCUAAAUAUUGGCGAGAGACCGAUAGCGAACAAGUACAGUGAUGGAAAGAUGAAAAGAACUUUGAAAAGAGAGUGAAAAAGUACGUGAAAUUGUUGAAAGGAAGGGCAUUUGAUCAGACAUGGUGUUUUGUGCCCUCUGCUCCUUGUGGUAGGGGAAUCUCGCAUUUCACUGGGCCAGCAUCAGUUUUGGUGGCAGGAUAAAUCCAUAGGAAUGUAGCUUGCCUCGGUAAGUAUUAUAGCCUGUGGGAAUACUGCCAGCUGGGA
rnacentral:rRNA from 1 species